AAUAGCCUUCAGUUAAAUUGAGAAGACUAUUCUUCUUUUCUUCAUUUGUCUUUGUGUUUUCGAUCCACCACCAGACGCCUACCUCUGCAAAUUCAAACGACAAUGAUACUCGUUGUAACAUCACCAUUCAUUAGAUCCUCCAACAGCAAUCUAAUAAUAAUCGCAGUAGCAGAUCGAGAGAGAUUAAGAGGGAGAGAUCGAGAGACAAAGUUGUUGAAAAUUCGAUUUCAUGGUGUUCAAAUCCAAAUUUAAGUCGAUUGAGAAAGAGAGGUUUUACAGAUUUAAUACUUGUUUGAUUAUAUAGUUCCAUAAACAGAAUAGAAGCUAUGAACUAGAUUAAAAUUCAUUCAAAGGAGAUUUACUACUGCAAAUUCAAAUAGAUCUUAGAGAUAUGGUCUAUUUAAAUUUCAAGAUAGUCUUGUUAGUAGUAUAUACCAUGGAAUGAUGAUGUAUAUUUUUUCAAGCGGAUCUGAAUUCCGUGUUCGUCUUUCUACUGGAAUAUACCUGCGCAAAUUGCAAAGCUUUUGUUGUGAAAAUUCAAUCUGUGCAGAGAUGUGCAGGCUCAUUCUGAGGAGAAAAUAUGCACACAUAAAUCAUUUUUGUUCGUUGAUUUCUUUUUGUUUAUAUCUCUUGUUGGAAAUUGAUGUUUAGUACUGUAAUUGACGAUGAACUUUAGAUCAGCAUAUUAUCUCUCAGGGAUAGUGUUACCCUUCGGGUAGAAAUUCUGCACACAUUCAAUCCGUGUAGGAAAUCUGUACACAUUCAAUCUGUGUCGAAUGUAGACGUUAUCCCUGAACCACCCUAUCAUUUGGUUUUGCUCUAUUUUUUGUAUGUAGCAUGAAAACAAACUCUCAAUGCCAUGUUCGUAGAACCUAGUUGAUUUUUUUUACUUUAUAUAAUCUAAUUUUUUAGAACUUGUAUAUUCUUCAUAUGUGGAUAUUUUCUACACAGGGAAUUGGCAUAUGUUUUGCAUAAACUAGCUGUCUCGGAAAGCAGAAGCUUUAUACAUUAAGAUUUUAAAUAUGCACAACUAAUUAUGGCUUAGUUGUACUUGUUGUUUCAUGGCUAACCAACUGCAUCACGGGCUUGUGAUCUACUAGAUCAAUUGGAUUUCAACUUUCAAGUAAUCUUAGUAUAUUCUUGGUAGCAUGCCGUUAUUCAACUGUUUUAAGCGUAACUCACCGGUUGAGUUUCCGUCUUAUGAUUGUUAAGAGCCUAAACACGUCCCAUCAGGAAGUUGGGAGAUGAGACUCACUCAAAAGUUAGGAUGGGAAUAAGAUUCUGGAUGGAGUGCCACACAAACUAGUAUAUAUGUGAUUUCUAUUGUAGAAUUUGAUAUAUCAGGUCAAGAGCAUGCUUUGGCUGUGAGGAAACUUGUUCUCUGAGAUUGUAAAGUCUUUAUUGCUUUGACGUUGAUAUGUGAAUAUUUUCUACAUAGAUCGAGUUUGUGCAGAAAAUGCACACAAUUUUUCCACAAUGUUUUUUUGAUAAUUGUUCUUGUUUAUCUGUGUAGGCAAUAUGCACACUUCUUUUUUUGUGCAGCAAAUAUACACGCUGUUUUUUUUCUGUACAUAAAAUAUGCACAUCUUCUCCGUGAUUAACUAGCUUUUUUUGGUUUUUGUUAGUGUUUUAGCAAUUAAAAUUCGACAUAUAAUUACUCGAUUCAGAAUGGUUAACUGAAAUAUGUUCAAGGAGAUUCUAUUUGAUUGCAUUUUCUGGUGUGACAUGUUGCAAAUGUCGCAUUGAUUGACUAUGGCUCUUGAAGAAAAACCAUGUUCGUAAGGUAGUGUCUGUUUCUGAUAAAGUUUUGUUAAGUUUUAGCUGAUUUGUUUUAUGUUUUAAACUUAUGCAUCAGACUAUAUGUGUUGAUAUUUUCUGCAUAAAAUGAAUCUGUGAAUAUUUUCUGCACAUACCAAAAUCUUGUGAAUAUUCUAUGCACAUAGUGAACCGCUGAUAUAUAAUGUACAAAUUAUCGGUCUCAAAUGUGCAGUUCUUUGUUUAGGACAAUGGACUGACCACUAGGAAUUGAUUAAGGUUAAAUUAAUGCAUGCUUUAUUGUGGUUUUGGGAAUUGAUUAUGGUUAAAUUUGUGUGCAGACUCUAUUCACGUUUGAAUUUGUGUGCAGGCUUUAUUCACUAAAGAGUAUUACGUUCUGGUUUUAUGUACCAAAGAAUUUGUCUGCAGACUUUAUGCAUGAGUGAAUGUGUGUGCAGGCUUUAUGCACCAAAGCAUUUGUGUGUAGAUCUGUGUAGAUUGUUUCGCUGAAUGGAGAAUGCCGACUCCGACUAUUAUGAUAUAGUAAAUGUAAUGCUUGAACACUUAUCAUAUAUACUUGUAUAAAGUGUCAAUUUUUUUUUCGAAUAACUGUAAUAGAUAAUGGGAGUUUUUUACUACUUUGAAUCAUGAAUUUGUAAUAUUAAGUAGAAAUAUGAAUGGGAUUACAGAUGUAUUUUGCA